rnacentral:rRNA from 1 species
UGAGGUGGAGGCAAAACUCAAAAACUUAGUCUCAGUUCGGAUUGUAGGCUGAAACUCGCCUACAUGAAGCUGGAGUUGCUAGUAAUCGCGAAUCAGCAUGUCGCGGUGAAUACGUUCCCGGGCCUUGUACACACCGCCCGUCACACCAUGAGAGUUGGCAAUACCCAACGUACGUGAUCUAACCCGCAAGGGAGGGAGCGUCCUAAGGUAGGGUCAGCGAUUGGGGGUGAAGUCGUAACAAGGUAAC